GGCUGUGGCUCAUCGGCAGAACGCCUGCCUCACACAUAGGAGGCACUGGGUUCGAUCCUCAGCACCA
rnacentral:tRNA from 1 species